CCUGGGGCGGAAAUGGAUCAUUAGUGAGGAUGAUGCAGUUUCUCCACAGACUGUUCCAGAAGCCCUCCCCUUGGGUCAUGUGAGCUUUGGAGUUCCCCAGUGCCGGACACGGGAUUCGGGUGGGGGUCUGGCCCCCGAGUGAGUGCAGCCUCUGUGUUUGCCCACAUGAGCUUGUUUGUGUCAUGGGCCCGAGGCUCCCCGUUAUCUGUGUGUGCCGUGUCUGUGGCUGUAUAUCUGUGUGCCCCAGCCAGACCCAUCUUGUGUGUCCAUGCACUCCCAGGACAUGUUUGUCCGCCUGUGUCUGGGUGUGUCUGCGCUGUUUCCUGUGUGUAGCCAAGCGUGCCUGCCUGGGUCACAUGUCUGCGUGUGCCCGGGAGUCCUUUGUCCCUGUAGAUGUGCACAGAGAGCCUGGCAAGGCCCGUGUGGCGUGUGGGUGACCUUUGCCUGGGAUCUAAAGUGGAACUGCGUGGGCCAUCGAUUUGUGACCCUGCACUGUGGACUGACUUGUGUUGUGGGUCUAUGUUGUGUCUCACAUGAGUUGUGUGUUUGACAACAUCUGGGUUUGAGUCCCAGGGUCACCUCCCUUCCCCAAACACCAGGGUCUCCCUUUUCCAGGAAGUCCUGCCCACAUCUUCCCCUCCUCCCCACCCCCCAUUCCCCACAGGAGGAACCCAGGCGGGGCAGCUGGUGACACACCACGUGACCACCGAUUUUUGACCCUCACACACUCAGCAGCUGCUUGCAGGCCUCCCAGUGCCGGCUGCCCUGAGAGUAGGCAGGAACCUGUAAUCACAAGUGGAGGGUGAGAAAAAUAACACCCAGCAAACACCCAAAUUGAGUGAUAUUCUACAGAAUACCUGACCUGUAUUUGCAAAAAUGCACCAGUCCUGGAGAAGAAAAAUUAGAGGAGUGGCCAUAGAUUGCAGCAGAUUAAGGAGACAUGAGGACAAAUUGAAAUGUGGGAUCCUGGACCAAAAAAGGGCCAAUUGUGGAAAGACUGGUAACAUCCAAAUAAAGCCUGAAUUUCAGUGGAGUACCCUGCACCACCUUUUGCCACUUUUCUGGAAAUCUAAAAAUAUCCUAAAAUUAAAAAAAAAGUUUUCUUUUAAAAAGGGGACUGGUCCAAGAAACCUAAAAUUUUAUUCAACAUGUAUUGAACACCCACUGUAUUCCCAGUACUGGCUGACCCAGCAGUGAACAAGACAGACAGGAAAACCUGCUCUGUUGGGGCAGGGAAAUUUAUACUCUAGCUGUUAAUUACUUUCCUUUCUUUGGGGAUAGGGUGGGGCAUUCUCUUUCCAUUUUAUAUUUUAUGUGCUGUUUGGAUUUUUGGCCUGAAAAGUAUUGUUAGUCAUUUUGCUAGACGUCCUCUUGACAUAUCUAUAUGUUAAAAUGUAAACCCAGGAAACAAAGAUCUCAUUUCAGA